rnacentral:piRNA from 1 species
UNUGCUGUGUUUGCAUAAGUGCCUCACUCCU